AUUGAACGCUGGCGGCAUGCCUUACACAUGCAAGUCGAACGGUAACGGGCCUUCGGGUGCCGACGAGUGGCGAACGGGUGAGUAAUGUAUCGGAACGUAUCCUGUAAUGGGGGAUAACCAGUCGAAAGAUUGGGUAAUACCGCAUACGCACGAGAGUGGAAAGUAGGGGAUCGCAAGACCUUACGUUAUAGGAGCGGCCGAUAUCUGAUUAGCUAGUUGGUGGGGUAAAGGCCUACCAAGGCGACGAUCAGUAGCUGGUCUGAGAGGACGACCAGCCACACUGGGACUGAGACACGGCCCAGACUCCUACGGGAGGCAGCAGUGGGGAAUUUUGGACAAUGGGCGAAAGCCUGAUCCAGCCAUGCCGCGUGCAGAAAGAAGGCCUUCGGGUUGUAAACUGCUUUAGUCUAGGAAAAAGGGGUGCGAGGUUAAUACCCUCGUGCUUUGAUGGUACUGGAAGAAUAAGCACCGGCUAACUACGUG
rnacentral:rRNA from 1 species